GCUUCUGAACUUAAGCAUAUCACUAAGGGGCGGAAAAUAAACUAACAAGGAUUUCCUUAGUAACUGUGAGUGAAAAGUGA
rnacentral:ncRNA from 1 species